ensembl:lncRNA
GUACACCUAGGGGAUCUGAAAGAUUUUCAAAUGUUGCUCUCCCUGUGGGAAACAGUGUGAGGAAAGGAAAUAAGUCCUAACCUACCCUGGAGAAGCCUGUACAGAGGAGAGAAUAUUUGCAACUUUGACAGCUUGAUUCUUAAGGGCCACAAGUAAUUGAUCUCUUUAUUUGUUAAAGAAGAUAUAAUUCAAGUACAUAGAUACAACCUAUAUUUGCAGUAAAGAUUUGGGGGCA